UUCAAGGAAAACCAAUAGCUGUGCUCCCCUGUGCUGUUCUCCACCAAACAAGCUUAAGGUUCAUUAGUAGGAGAAUGUAGAGUAGUUAAGCUUCCAAGACUCCAGACACGUCCAAGUAAGAUGCACCAUGUGGCAGUUUGCCAUUCUU